rnacentral:miRNA from 1 species
UGAGGUAGUAUUGUUUGAAAGA